rnacentral:rRNA from 1 species
UACGUAGGAGGCAAGCGUUGUCCGGAGUUACUGGGCGUAAAGCGCACGCAGGCGGUCGCAUCAGUCUGGGGGGACAGUUCCCGGCCUAACCGGGAAAGUGCUCUGGAAACUGUGCGACUUGAGGGCUUCAGAGGGAGGUAGAAUUCCACGUGUAGCAGUGAAAUGCGUAGAGAUGUGGAGGAAUACCGAUGGCGAAGGCAGCCUCCUGGGCCAACACUGACGCUCAUGCACGAAAGCGUGGGGAGCAAACAGG